ACGGAGGAUGCGAGCGUUAUCCGGAUUUAUUGGGUUUAAAGGGAGCGUAGAUGGGAUUUUAAGUCAGCUGUGAAAGUUUGAGGCUCAACCUUAAAAUUGCAGUUGAAACUGGGAUUCUUGAGUAUGGAUGCGGUAGGCGGAAUUCGUGGUGUAGCGGUGAAAUGCUUAGAUAUCACGAAGAACUCCGAUUGCGAAAGCAGCUUACUAAGCCAUAACUGACAUUGAUGCUCGAAAGUGUGGGUAUCAAACAG
rnacentral:rRNA from 1 species